rnacentral:lncRNA from 1 species
CACUAAUUUAUCUUCAUUCCUUGUUAUAAUCAAGUCUAAGGUGUGGCCUUUCUUGUGGGUUGGCCCAUUGACGUGCUGUUGUAAAUUAAACGAUUCCAGUAUCUUGUUGAGUUUAAUAGUAUCUGAAUCUCCAAUGUUAUCUAUAUGAAAAUUAAAGUCUCCUGCCAUUAAUAUAUUGCCAGGUAAUAUGAUCAACUGUUCCACAAAUAUGCAGAAUUCUUCAAAAAAUAUUGAGCUGCUUAAUUUAUUAGUCUUCGAUGGGGGUGGUCUAUAAAUGACAAUCAUUCUGGUGCAGGUAUUACGGCAGUUCAAGGUGACAUCAAUAUAUUCAAAAGAAGAGAAUUUUCUCUGAGAUUGUUUUUUGACUUUAAUAUGUUUCUUCAGUAAGAGACCAACUCCUCCACCUCGUGCAUUUUUCCUUGUAAUGUGAUAAAAGUGAUACCCCGUUGGGCAGAUUUCAGCAAUAGAAAAUUCAUUAUCAUCCUCACGUAACCAUGUCUCAGUCAUUGCUAGAAUAUCAACAUCGUUCUCAGACACAUAAUCAUUAAUAAAAAGUUCUUUCCUAUUUAUUGAUCUGGUAUUCAACAGGCAAAAGUUGAUAGGCAUAAAAUAAGUCUUCUGUUCCCUUGUACAAUUGACAUAAAUUAAAUUAUUAAAAUUUACAGAUCGAGUUCGUUCCGUAUUCUUAGUAUCUCUCGAGGGACUAUUUGCAUCUUUUUCAGCACUCAUUACAUGAUUUCCUAAUAAUAAAAUUGGAACCACCCUAUUUUGUCUCUUCCCCAUGAUUCCGUACGAAAAUCCUCGUUAUUUCUACCAUUAUUCCCAUUUCGAAUUUUCGACUGUUCGUAGGGUUUUGAAAUAUUACUCUUACAAUAAUCAGUACAAAUAUUUUUGCACUCAUUUCGUUUUGAAUUGGAUUUUCUACCCACGUUUUUUACUCGUUUCCUUGUAGUAAUACGGGUGGGAAUGGAUUGUUGCUGAUUAUUAUUAUAAUUGGACUGGUUUGCGUUAUUAUUCUGAUAAAAGCGUUGUCGUGUAUAUCCAUUUUGCUUAUCAUUUAAUUGGCUAUGUGUGCUAUCGGAGGACUUUGUCUGUGUUAAUGAAUAUAGUGUGUUGCCAUUACAAUCCUUUCUCUUAUUUGCGUAACGAGCUUUAUUCGAAAUAUUUGAAAUAUGUAAUUGGAUUUGUGCUGGGCUCUCAGGAACGGAAUUAUUCUCGCCCACACUAAUAGUGUUCAAUUUCGCAUCAUUUAAACAUUGCUCUUAUGCCCGAUCUAAUUGUUUAACACCCGAUGGCUUUCAGCCCGACUGAUUAUGCCCGAUCUAAUUGUUUAACACCCGAUGGCUUUCAGCCCGACUGAUUAUGCCCGAUCUAAUUGUUGAACACCCGAUGGCUUUCAGCCCGACUGAUUAUGCCCGAUCUAAUUGUUUAACACCCGAUGGCUUUCAGCCCGACUGAUUAUGCCCGAUCUAAUUGUUUAACACCCGAUGGCUUUCAGCCCGACUGAUUAUGCCCGAUCUAAUUGUUUAACACCCGAUGGCUUUCAGCCCGACUGAUUAUGCCCGAUCUAAUUGUUUAAAACCCGAUGGCUUUAAGCCCAACUGAUUAUGCCCGAUCUAAUUGUUGAACACCCGAUGGCUUUAAGCCCGACUGAUUAUGCCCGAUCUAAUUGUUUAACACCCGAUGGCUUUAAGCCCGACUGAUUAUGCCCGAUCUAAUUGUUUAAAGCCCGAUUAAAUUGUUUAACGCCCGAUUGAAUUGUUUAACGCCCGAUUAAAUUGUUUAACGCCCGAUUGAAUUGUUUAACGCCCGAUUGAAUUGUUUAACGCCCGAUUGUUUAAAGCCCGAUUGAAUUGUUUAAAGCCCGAUUGAAUUGUUUAACACCCAAUGGCUUUCAGCCCGCAUUAAUUAAACACUGUCCGAUCCAAUUGUAUUUUUGUCCCGAUCCAAUUGCAUUUUUGUCCAUAUCCACACCUCAUACAGUUGGUAGAACAUUGGGCUAGUAUCCCAAAGGUGGCGGGUUCGACUGCCACCGUGGCCAAGCAAACUUUUCAGCUUGCCCGCUGUGGAUGCAUAUUCAGAGUAACGUCACAAAUAUCAUACUAAAACUCCGUUUUCUGACCAUCAGAAUUCUGUCAAAACUUCUCCAAAGUCCAUGCAGGAAAUGGCAUUUCAGAGAAUCUAAAUUUAAAAAUUUCCUCGGGCCUUCGGCCCUCGUUCCCAGCCCCCAAUAAAAAUGAGCUUCCUACGAUGCAAAAACUAGACUUGCUCCAAGUAAUUGUAUGUAACGUACAAUAUAGAUGUACAAUAUAUAGAUGUCCACAAAGAGAGACUUGGAGCAAAUCUAUGCAAAAACAUGCAGUUGACUGGCCAGAAGGCGGGGCCUUCAGCCAAUACAGCGCGUUUAUUGGCCAGAAAAUGUAAUCGACUGGCUAGGAAGAUGGCGGCCAGGGGCCCUUCUGUGUGCCUUAUUCUGUGCCAUGGGCACAGAAUACUACACCACAGAAUAGAUACUGGACCAGAAGUGUCACUCAGACGCACUGCUCAGACGAUAUUUUUCCGAAAUUCUACGAGUGCUGACGUGAAAAUACGCCAUCAUAUCACGCCAUCCUGGAGUGCACACGGAAGUUUUUCAUAGGCCAAGCACAGCCUCGUACCCAGGCGCUAAAAAUGGGCACACUACAAUGUUUUUAUAUAGAUCAGUGGCGCAACCACCCCGCGCCACAGAAUAAGGUACACAGCAACCUCGUCCCAGGGACCGCGGAGACGGGGGGGGGGGGCUGGGGGGGGCUUUAGCCCCCCCACUUUUUUUGACAGCCAAAAUUAUUAAAAUAGAAAUCUAAAUGAAACUUUCUAAAUUAAUUAAUUGGGGGUUUUAUUGAUGAUUUAGCCCCCCCCACUCUCUAAUACGCUACGCGGGCCCUGCGUCCCCAGGGCCUAUUGAGGAAGGAGGCGAAGCUGCCCUUAGCAUCUUUCCUCAAAAGGCCCUGGGGACGAGGUUGGCCACAGAAGGUCGACUCGAGUAACGCUGCCACGCCAUGAUUCAUCAUCAAAAUGCUGACGCCAUGGUCAUAGGCAGUGCGGGUUUGAGAGGCAUUCCCCCCUGGACAUCUGCCAUUUUGAAUAAUAUCAGGGUGGUGAAUGCCUCUCAAACGCGCACUGGCUAGGACCAUGGCGUCAGCAUUUGAUGACGAAUUACGGGUUACGCCAAAAUCAUAGCAAAAUCAUAGGAAAAACAAAGAAGUCGGCCUUCUGUGUACCUUAUUCUGUGCCCGCGCGCUCGCUCAUCUUAGCCACUGAUCUAUAUAAAAGUACUGUAGUGUGCCUAUUUUUAGUUAAUUGCGCCUGGGUACGAGGCUGGGCCAAGCACAGGUACAAAGUGCUGUGUGCACUCCAGGAUGGCGUCAUAGCACGUAAAAAAAUUUUGGACAUUUUCCUUCAGCCAAAACACAUAGGAGUGUCACUUCUGGUCCGGUAUGUAUUCUGUGACUACACAUAUAAAGUCCAUAUGGCUUCAUUGUUUUUUGCGUAAGCUCUAUUCGUCAUGAUUCGUCACUCAGCAAGUACCGUAAACAGAAGCAGUCACCCCCUGGACAUGCGCCAUU